rnacentral:ncRNA from 1 species
AUGGUGCAAAGCAUCAGGGGAUGAAACUGGGAAUGACGUGAUGGCGGACCCACUCCGGGGGCCGAAUCGUCAGCCGCCCCCGCGACUGUAAGCGGAGAGUGGGUGCCAAUCUGCCACUGGAACGCCUGUUCCGGGAAGGCCGGCCCCCGCAGAGACCCGCAAGCCAGGAGACCGGCCAUGCAU